AACGAUGUCGACUUGGAGGUUGUGCCCUUGAGGCGUGGCUUCCGGAGCUAACGCGUUAAGUCGACCGCCUGGGGAGUACGGCCGCAAGGUUAAAACUCAAAUGAAUUGACGGGGGCCCGCACAAGCGGUGGAGCAUGUGGUUUAAUUCGAUGCAACGCGAAGAACCUUACCUGGUCUUGACAUCCACGGAAGUUUUCAGAGAUGAGAAUGUGCCUUCGGGAGCCGUGAGACAGGUGCUGCAUGGCUGUCGUCAGCUCGUGUUGUGAAAUGUUGGGUUAAGUCCCGCAACGAGCGCAACCCUUAUCCUUUGUUGCCAGCGGUCCGGCCGGGAACUCAAAGGAGACUGCCAGUGAUAAACUGGAGGAAGGUGGGGAUGACGUCAAGUCAUCAUGGCCCUUACGACCAGGGCUACACACGUGCUACAAUGGCGCAUACAAAGAGAAGCGACCUCGCGAGAGCAAGCGGACCUCAUAAAGUGCGUCGUAGUCCGGAUUGGAGUCUGCAACUCGACUCCAUGAAGUCGGAAUCGCUAGUAAUCGUGGAUCAGAAUGCCACGGUGAAUACGUUCCCGGGCCUUGUACACACCGCCCGUCACACCAUGGGAGUGGGUUGCAAAAGAAGUAGGUAGCUUAACCUUCGGGAGGGCGCUUACCACUUUGUGAUUCAUGACUGGGGUGAAGUCGUAACAAGGUAACCGUAGGGGAACCUGCGGUUG
rnacentral:rRNA from 1 species